GACGAACGCUGGCGGCGUGCCUAAUACAUGCAAGUAGAACGCACAGUUUAUACCGUAGCUUGCUACACCAUAGACUGUGAGUUACGAACGGGUGAGUCACGCGUAGGUAACCUGCCUGGUAGCGGGGGAUAACUAUUGGAAACGAUAGCUAAUACCGCAUAAUAUUGAUUAUUGCAUGAUAAUUGAUUGAAAGAUGCUAUUGCAUCACUACCAGAUGGACCUGCGUUGUAUUAGCUAGUAGGUGAGGUAACGGCUCACCUAGGCGACGAUACAUAGCCGACCUGAGAGGGUGAUCGGCCACACUGGGACUGAGACACGGCCCAGACUCCUACGGGAGGCAGCAGUAGGGAAUCUUCGGCAAUGGACGAAAGUCUGACCGAGCAACGCCGCGUGAGUGAAGAAGGUUUUCGGAUCGUAAAGCUCUGUUGUAAGAGAAGAACGGGUGUGAGAGUGGAAAGUUCACACUGUGACGGUAUCUUACCAGAAAGGGACGGCUAACUACGUG
rnacentral:rRNA from 1 species